AUACUUACCUGGACGGGGUCGAUGGGUGAUCAAGAAGGCCCAUGGCCUAGGUUGGCGACCUUCAUUGCACUAGGGAGGGGUGCCCGCCUAACAUCUCCCCGAGUGGGAGAGUGUACGUCAUAAUUUGUGGUAGCGGGGGUACGCGUUCGCGCGGCCCCUA
rnacentral:snRNA from 1 species